rnacentral:rRNA from 1 species
UACGUAGGCAGCAAGCGUUGUUCGGAGUUACUGGGCGUAAAGAGUGCGUAGGUGGUGCCCUAAGUCUGUUGUGAAAUCUCCCGGCUUAACUGGGAGGGUGCGGUGGAAACUGGGGUGCUUGAGUGUGGGAGAGGUAAGCGGAAUUCCUGGUGUAGCGGUGAAAUGCGUAGAUAUCAGGAGGAACACCGGUGGUGUAGACAGCUUACUGGACCACGACUGACACUGAGGCACGAAAGCGUGGGUAGCAAACAGG